rnacentral:sRNA from 2 species
GGAUAAAUUUUGCUAAUCCUAUCCAACAACUGAAGCGGGGGAACCCAGUCAGGGGCUUAUUUUCUAAACCUAGAAAAGGGAUAUCUCUCAAUCCUCGCCCAUCAGCUAACCCCGUCGGCCUUGAGACGAGACUGA